CCUACGGGAGGCAGCAGUAGGGAAUAUUGCUCAAUGGGGGAAACCCUGAAGCAGCAACGCUGCGUGGAGGAUGAAGGUUUUCGGAUUGUAAACUCCUUUUGUUAGAGAAGAUAAUGACGGUAUCUAACGAAUAAGCACCGGCUAACUCCGUGCCACCAGCCGCGGUACUACGGAGGGUGCAAGCGUUACUCGGAAUCACUGGGCGUAAAGAGCGCGUAGGGUGGAUAGCAAGUCAGCUGUGAAAUCCUAUGGCUUAACCAUAGAACUGCAUUUGAAACUGUUAUUCUAGAGAAUGGGAGAGUUAGGUGGAAUUCUUGGUGUAGGGGUAAAUCCGUAGAGAUCAAGAGGAAUACUCAUUGCGAAGGCGACCUGCUAGAACAUAACUGACGCUGAUGCGCGAAAGCGUGGGGAGCAAACAGGAUUAGAUACCCUUGUAGUC
rnacentral:rRNA from 1 species